CUGAAUUUCUCACUGCAGAACCAGUGAAUUUCGUCUAUUUUCAAGAUAAAAGAGUAUCCAGUCACAUGUCCACAUAUAAAUCUACUUGAUUGAACCCAUAAGAUUUCCUCACAUACAAACAAAGCCUCAAACAUCUACAGUAAAUUCGUAAACACUUGUGUAAAUAUUAUGCUAGUUGACAAUGGUCCCUAACCACACAAAACCAUAGGUACAUCAUAACAUAAUGAAAGAAAUUUCAAGUUUUUGUAUACGUUUCUGAAGUGUAGGUAUCUGCAAUUGUUGAAGAAUGAGCUUGUAAUAGCAUAUUCUUUGUGCUCUUCCACCAGAACUUUCUUAUAUCUACAUUUGCAUUGGCACUUUCUUCAACUGAGUGUCUGGUUUCGACAUUUACAUGUUAAGAGCACACUCGCAAGGAAGUGCUGGGCUAUAAGAGAAUAUAGCAAACUACUAUGACCAACAACACAACAGAACACGCCAUUGCCUGCAUUAAUUAUUGCAUAAAAAACUUAGUGUGUUAAAUUCAGUAUAAGAUUAAACAUAUUUUCGAAGUUUGGGCAGAGGGGACUAAGGAUACAUUCAUUUAACACCCUGGUUAAUGGUUAUUUGGAAAAAAAAAAAAUGAGAAUCCAAUCAUUUGAUACCAGAAACCACUUACAGCAAUGGCAGCUGCAGCAAGGCCUGCUCGCUCCCUAGGAUCUUUUCGGUAAUAAUUACCAAAGUAAAGUAUUGUGGCAUAGUACCACAUCAAUGGGAACACAAAUCCUAAAAGAAAACUGCAAAAGAAGAGAGAAUCAUGAGAAUAUAUGCAAUCGUGAAGGAAGCAGUAGUUUGAACUUUUAAGAAUACUCACGAAAACCAUCCUACACCGCAGCCAAAGCAUGGAAGGGGUUUGUCAUAAAUCCCAACUUGGAUGUCCUCGGGAUCCCUUAGAAGGAUAUACUUUCCCUUUUCACGGUCUGCACCAUCUGAAGCUUGCCCUACCAUUACGACAGUGCCUUCAGCUGUUUGGAUAAACGCUAAUACAUGCUAUGAAAUUUAUUUAUCUAACAGAAUUAGCAGUCUGAAUGGCAGAUAAAAUAUGUUCCACAAAAUGGAAUAAGGUAAUUUGACAAUAAAUGAACUGUACAGAAAUGUCAUUAUAAAAGUAAUCAAUCACAUUAAACCAAUAAACAGUAUCCAGGAAAAAAAUGAAGGAUAAACAGGAUUUCAGACAAUGAUAUAAUUGAAAGUGAAAAGAAAAUGACAGUUUCUACCAGAAUUGCAUAUUGAGAAACUGUGCUAGAUUCCAAUGAUAGAAAAAAAGCACAAGAAUGAGAAAAUUAAAAAGAUGGAAGAUAAAAUUCCAAAGAAUAUCAAAGUUCUUAAGAUUCAUGGUCCAUCCACAUGGAUCCCUAGAGAUGUACAAAGGGAAAAUAGUCUGUAAUUUGCAUCCAUACAACAAUGACUCUUUUUUAGUGUAAAAAAGGGUUGUGCCAUUCUGCAGUGGCUCCAGGGUAGCAAAUAAACCGGGUAUCAAUGCAUAUAUAAACAUGAACAAGAGUGACAAGAAAUGAGCAUGCCAUAGUCAUAUGCAAAUGAAAUUCUCAAUAUAUGCGAGGGAUAGCCAUAUGACAAACACUUACUAAGAAGGUUAAUGUCUGGACAGGAUUACUACCUCUAGACACUGAAUAGUAUCGAGCAGAUGGCCUGAGAAGAUCGAUAUGCUUAUCAGAGGCAGAUUUCACCAUCUCAAGGCCAUUCCGUGAAUCCUCAUUCUCCUCGAUAGCAACACCUGCAGCGCCAAAAAGUUGAACUUAUUUUGAAAUAACUUAAUUUUGACAUGUUUACCAAUUUGCUUUUUAAUGUUCAGCAAGAAUUAAUUCUCACUGAAGAAAUCUAUGGUAAAAAAAUCAUCUAUCGAUAUUUAUCCUGGAUUGUCCCACAAAUUGCUGUCUCUUAACACAUGAACACAUCAAGAGAUAAAAUCUUUUCAUACAAGCAAUAUACAAAUGAAAUGCAUAAACUUCGCACAAUGUACCCUAGCUCAUUAAAGAAAACCAAAUUACUGCAGAGGCCAUAAUGAUAAUGAUCAUCAUCAUCAAUUCUAAAUGAUCAUAUUUAUCCCAAUUCAAGGAGUGACCAAAUAAAUCAAGAGAGGUACAGUACUUUGCUCCAUUAAUGCUACAGCAGCAGAUUGUACUCCUGAACUUUUUAUUGACCUCCAAAACUACCUGCUUCAGAAAUCAAAGAAGCGAUUAAUAUUAAAUUAUAUACCCAUUAUUUCAAUGAUAAUUUAAUGUAACUGGAUGCAAUCCACAAUGGCAAAAAGCUAAUUAUAGAAAGUAAUAGCAUGACCAUUUGUGAUUUGACAAGAUAAAGGCCUAAAUUGCAAACAAAAUUACCAUGGAGCAAGGAAAUUCAAAUAACUGUGAUGAAGAAAAUAUACUUUUUUUUCCCUAUAUUUCAUGUGAACAAGGUCAGGUCAACCAUUCCUGUAAAACAUAUGCAUUCAUAUAUAACAACUGAAAGCAUUAGAAAGGGUGAUUAGAAUUUGGGAAGGAGCACCAUCAACAUGAUAGGAUAAGUUUCUCUGGCUAUUUUAAGCGGAAAAGGCAAACAACUCCUAUAGUCCCAAUUUCAUACCCCAAAUUCUUCAUUACACAAUUGCGUAUUCCUAUGAGGUUUACAUGUCAUGGGGUAAGAAAUAAAAUUUAUAAAGUUAAAACAGGCACUAUUUAGGUCUGCUUGCAUAAGAGGCUCAGCAAAAAUACUUUCCUCUAACAGCAGUGUUUUCAGGAGCUAGGCUAGAAUUUUUAGCAUUUUCCCUUUAAAUGAUUUAAGAAAAUCCUUCAAAACGUCUCAAUAUGUGCAUACAUAUAAUACAUAAAUAAGCCUUCCAUGUGAAAUUCUCACACCGUAGUAUUAAACUUCCAUUGAAAUUGUAAGUCAUAGCUGCAUAUUCCAAUAAGCUAGCCCAAAACGUAAUUCAGUUCAAUUAAAGUAAUACUCAACAAAUUAUCAAGAUAAACACAUAAGAAGCAACCCACAAAAUUUCAUCACUCGCUAAGCCAAAAGAACAACUUCAACAACCCAAUAGCAAACCAAAAACUGCCAAAUUACCCACACAAUCAAAACAUUAGAUACCCACAAUACCAAUAAUUGUCUACUCAUAUCAAAACAUAAAGAAACAACUAAACAUUGGAUUAAAACACCAAACCAAAAAAAAUAAAGGAAAAGGUUUAUUGCCUGCCAACACCAGGAACUGAAUUGUGAAAGUUUUGGGGUAAUAUUCCGUUUAGAUCAAAGAGGAGAUAGGUAUUGUGUUGUUUGGUAUCAAUCCCUCACUAGAGACGCUGAGCGAAAUGGACUCUUCUUGUGUCCCUUCUCAUUUGAUGACGAAAAUAAAAC
rnacentral:misc_RNA from 1 species